AGGGAAAUAAUUUAAUUGGUAAAAUGCUAGUCUCCAAAACUGGUUUUAAAGGUUCAAGUCCUUUUUUCCCUG
rnacentral:tRNA from 2 species